rnacentral:rRNA from 13 species
UUGAAGAGUUUGAUCAUGGCUCAGAUUGAACGCUGGCGGCAGGCCUAACACAUGCAAGUCGGACGAGAAGGUACCUUCGGGUACUGGAGAGUGGCGCACGGGUGAGUAACGCGUGGGGACCUACCUCUUAGUGGGGGAUAACGGUUGGAAACGACCGCUAAUACCGCAUACGCCCUUCGGGGGAAAGAUUUAUCGCUAAGAGAUGGACCCGCGUUGGAUUAGAUAGUUGGUGAGGUAACGGCUCACCAAGUCAGCGAUCCAUAGCUGGUUUGAGAGGAUGAUCAGCCACACUGGGACUGAGACACGGCCCAGACUCCUACGGGAGGCAGCAGUGGGGAAUAUUGCACAAUGGGGGAAACCCUGAUGCAGCCAU